rnacentral:RNase_P_RNA from 2 species
AAAGCAGGCCAGGCAGCCGCGGCUUCGGCGCUUUCGGGCGUCGGGGGCGAGGAAAGUCCGGACUCCACAGGGCAGGGUGAUGGCUAACGGCCAUCCGUGGCAACACGCGGAACAGGGCAACAGAAAGCAAACCGCCGAUGGCUUCGGGCGCGAGUCCGAAGAUCAGGUAAGGGUGAAACGGUGCGGUAAGAGCGCACCGCGGACGUCGCGAGACGCUCCGGCACGGUAACCUCCACCCGGAGCAAUUCCAAAUAGGCAGGCGCGCAUCUUCGCGAUGCAGGACGGGGCCCCCGUUUCGUCUGCGGGUAGGAAGCUUGAGCGCGUCAGCAAUGGCGCGCCUAGAGGAAUGGCUGCCACGCGCGAUCGUCUUUCGGGCGGCGCGUGCACAGAAUCCGGCUUAUCGGCCCGCUUUGUCG